CGGGUGCCUCCGCAGCUCGGCUGGCAGGGCCUGGCGGGGCGUGUACGGCUGCUAGUGCAAGCCCCCCCGCCCCACCCCUCCCCAUGCAGCCCUGGCAGUGCCUCCGGCGCUUUGCCUUGGCCUGGUGGGAGAGGACAGCGGAGGGCAGCUCCCGAUCUCCCAGGGAGGAGGCUGGACCGAGGGACCCCGGGGGCCGAGGGGAGCCAGAUCCAGAGCGGAGCAGCCCCCCCAUGCUGUCUGCGGACGAUGCCGAGUACCCGCGGGAGUACCGGACCCUGGGGGGCGGGGGCAGCGGGGGCAGCGGGGGCCGGCGCUUCUCCAACGUGGGGCUGGUGCACACGUCCGAGCGGCGGCACACGGUGAUCGCCGCCCAGAGCCUGGAGGCGCUCAGCGGGCUCCAGAAGGCCGAUGCCGACCGCAAGCGCGAUGCCUUCAUGGACCACCUGAAGAGCAAGUACCCCCAGCACGCCCUAGCCCUGCGGGGUCAGCAAGACAGGAUGCGGGAGCAGGUUGGCGGCUGGACCGUGGACCCCGUGUGCCUCCUCAGCUCCCUCUGCUCCCACCUCCAUGGCGACUCCGCCCCCUCCGGGGCUGGCCAGCCGGCCCAGCAGCCAAACUACUGGAGUUUCAAGACCCGCAGCUCGCGCCACACUCAGGGAGCCCAGCCUGGCCUGGCAGACCAGGCGGCCAAGCUGUCAUACGCCUCGGCUGAGUCACUGGAGACCAUGUCGGAGGCCGAGCUGCCCCUGGGCUUCAGUAGGAUGAACCGCUUCCGACAGAGCCUGCCCCUCUCCCGCUCAGCCAGCCAGACCAAGCUGCGCUCGCCAGGGGUGCUGUUCCUGCAGUUCGGGGAGGAGACUCGGCGCGUGCACAUCACGCACGAGGUCAGCAGCCUGGACACGCUGCACGCACUCAUCGCUCACAUGUUCCCGCAGAAGCUCACCAUGGGCAUGCUUAAGUCGCCCAACACCGCCAUCCUCAUCAAAGACGAGGCUCGCAACGUCUUCUACGAGCUGGAGGACGUCCGGGACAUCCAGGACCGCAGUAUUAUCAAGAUCUAUAGGAAGGAGCCACUCUACGCCGCUUUCCCUGGCUCACACCUCACCAACGGGGACCUCCGGAGAGAGAUGGUGUAUGCGUCGCGGGAGUCGUCGCCCACGCGGCGUCUCAACAACCUGUCGCCGGCGCCGCACCUGGCAUCCGGCUCGCCGCCACCGGGGCUCCCGUCCGGGCUGCCGUCGGGCUCGCCGUCGCGCUCGCGCCUCUCGUACGCCGGGGGGCGCCCGCCCUCCUACGCCGGCAGCCCGGUGCACCACGCGGCGGAGCGGCUGGGGGGCGCCCCCGCCGCCCCGGGCGUCAGCCCGAGCCCCAGCGCCAUCCUCGAGCGGCGCGACGUGAAGCCGGACGAGGACCUUGCGGGCAAGGCGGGCGGCAUGGUGCUGGUGAAGGGCGAGGGCCUCUACGCCGAUCCCUACGGCCUGCUCCAUGAGGGCCGCCUGAGCCUGGCCGCGGCCGCCGGCGAUCCGUUCGCCUACCCUGGCGCGGGCGGCCUGUACAAGCGCGGCUCCGUACGCUCGCUCAGCACCUACUCGGCCGCCGCGCUGCAGUCGGACCUGGAGGAUUCGCUGUACAAGGCGGCGGGUGGCGGCCCGCUCUACGGCGACAGCUAUGGCUUCCGCCUGCCGCCCUCGUCGCCCCAGAAGCUGGCGGAUGUGGCGGCGCCCCCCGGGGGCCCCCAGCCGCCGCACAGCCCCUACUCGGGGCCGCCUAGCCGCGGCUCGCCGGUGCGCCAGUCCUUCCGCAAAGACUCGGGCUCCUCGUCGGUCUUCGCCGAGAGCCCCGGAGGCAAGACCCGCAGCACCGGGGGUUCUUCGACGGCCGGAGCACCCCCUCCUGAGCUCUUCCCCGGGCCUGGGGAGCGCCCGCUCGUUGGGUUCGGGCCGCCUGUGCCAGCCAAGGAUACGGAGACUAGGGAGCGCAUGGAGGCUAUGGAGAAGCAAAUUGCCAGCCUCACAGGUCUGGUGCAGAGUGCCCUGCUUCGAGGGUCAGAGCCUGAGACCCCCAGUGAGAAGAUUGAAGGCUCCAAUGGCGCAGCCACGCCCUCAGCACCCUGCGGGUCAGGCAGCCGGAGCAGUGGGGCCACCCCAGUGUCCGGCCCUCCCCCGCCCUCGGCCAGCAGCACCCCUGCGGGGCAGCCCACUGCCAUCAACCGUUUGCAGAUGCAGCUGCAUCUGCGUGGCCUGCAGAACAGCACCAAUGACCUGCGCAGCCAGCUUCAGCAACUGCGGAAGCUCCAGCUCCAGAACCUGGAGUCGCUGCGCGCGCUGCUGAAGGGCACGGAGGCGGAGCUGAGCAUGCGCGUGUCGGAGGCGGCGCGGCGGCAAGAGGACCCGCUGCAGCGGCAGCGCACCCUGGUGGAGGAGGAGCGGCUGCGCUACCUCAACGACGAGGAGCUCAUUACCCAGCAGCUCAAUGACCUGGAGAAGUCGGUGGAGAAGAUCCAGAGGGACGUGUCCCACAACCACCGACUGGUGCCCGGACCUGAACUGGAAGAGAAGGCGCUGGUGCUGAAGCAGCUCGGGGAGACGCUGACUGAGCUCAAGGCUCACUUCCCAGGCCUGCAGAGCAAGAUGCGGGUAGUGCUGCGUGUGGAGGUGGAGGCGGUGAAGUUCCUGAAGGAGGAGCCACAGCGUCUGGAUGGGCUACUCAAGCGCUGCCGUGGGGUCACAGACACAUUGGCCCAGAUCCGAAGGCAAGUGGAUGAAGGUGUUUGGCCACCCCCCAGCAACCUCCUGAAUCAGUCCCCCAAGAAGGUGACAGCUGAGAGUGACUUCAACAAGAGCUUGGACUUCGAAAUGCCACCCCCCAGCCCUCCACUGAACCUCCACGAGCUGAGUGGGCCAGCGGAGGGAGCCCCUGCGACGCCCAAGGCGGGCAACCCCACCAAAGGCCUGGAUGCUCCUGGCAAGAGAAGUGUGGACAAGGCUGUGUCUGUUGAGGCUGCAGAGCGGGACUGGGAGGAGAAGCGGGCAGCCCUGACCCAGUACAGCGCCAAGGAUAUCAACCGGCUGCUGGAGGAGACACAGGCGGAGCUCCUGAAGGCCAUCCCCGACCUGGACUGUGCGAGCAAGGCCCACCCGGGCCCAGCCCCCACCCCUGACCACAAGCCCCCCAAGAUCCCUCACGGCCAGAAGACAGCCCCGCGAACGGAGCCCAGUGGGAGGAGAGGCUCAGAUGAGCUGACGGUGCCCCGAUACCGCACGGAGAAGCCGUCCAAGUCUCCCCCACCGCCCCCUCCCCGCCGGAGCUUCCCCUCCUCCCACGGCCUGACCACCACGCGCACCGGAGAGGUCGUGGUCACCAGCAAGAAGGACUCGGCCUUCAUCAAGAAGGCAGAGUCCGAGGAGCUGGAGGUGCAGAAGCCCCAGGUGAAGCUGCGCCGGACCGUGUCCGAGGUGGCCCGCCCGGCCUCCACACCCCCCAUCAUGGCCUCUGCCGUCAAGGACGAGGACGACGAGGACCGUAUCAUCGCAGAGCUGGAGGUGUUUGAGAGAAGCUCAGUGUCUCCCCUCCCCCCCACGCCCCGCCGCCAGCCGAUCCCCACCUUGCUGUCCCCCCAGGACCUGGGGCCCUCUGGGGGCUCAGCCCCGGGCCCCACAUGGAAGGUAACGGGCUGCCCCCCACCUCUCACGGCGCUCUCUCUGCCUGUGCCUCCACGCUGCCUCUCCUCACUUCUCACGCUAACCUGCUAGAACACCAGUCACAUCCCUGGGUCCUGGCACUGCCACAGCCUCACCCCUGUGGACUGACUCACCCCUUCCCCCGCUCCAAGGACCGGCGCAGAACCCUCCCUUCCCUCUCCAAGACGCCAGCAGCCUGGUAUUUGGUGGCCCCUUGGGUCUGCGUUUCCUUACAGGCUUGAUUCCGUGCCCAGCCCGUGGUGGCUUGGGUAUUUUGUUUGGAUCUGUAGCCAGAGUUUAGGUCUGGCCCGAAGCCUGGGUUUUGUCUUGGUCCAAGUUUGGAUCUCGCUCCGUACAUGAUUCAAAAUCUGACUUCCUUCUGAGCCCUCGCCUAGUCCCUGAGCCCAUAGGCCCUUCUCUGCUGCCCGUGCCAGGUGGGGGUGCUCCCACCGGAAUCCACACCUUGCCCUGGGGGCCAGGACUCCCAGGAGAAAGGCCCAUUUCCAGCCUCCCUCCUUCCCGUGGCCCCAUCUGGUCGGAGAGCUUGGGAUGGAAAAAAUUCCCUGCCCUUCCUUGGCUGCUGGUUCUGUCUUUUGGCAUUGGGAAGUUCUUCCUUCUCUCUAACUGCAGUCCUUGCUGCUGUCCUGCUGCACUUACUUCUUUUUUAUUCUGUCUUGGGAGUUCGAGGGUGACUUGCUGUCUGCACCCUAGGGGACUGUGCUUGGGGAGGGGGAGCUGGGGGUCUGCACCCCAGGGGACUGUGCUUGGGGGGUGGCGGUGGUCCGGGACUCUCUCCCUCCUCCCAGUCAGGUUGGAGUAGGGGGGCCUUGUCUCUGGGGAGGGGAGCCUCCCGUGCACGCACGUGCCCACCUGCCUCAUCUGGUCCCCUUGGCCCCCAGUGGGUUCUGUGCUGGCCGCCGCCUGACUUCUAGCCUAGCUUGAGGCCCAGUGGUGCUUUGGCUCUGGAUCCAGGGGAGCAGAUAGGCACCAAACGGGUGGACAGUGCUGUCCGCUGGGCAGAGGGUGGCCACAGAGCUCCAAGGAGCCAUCUGGGCUUGAGUAGUGUGGCGGGGCUGCCCUUGGCUGGCUGUGCCCUCAGCACCUUGGCCCGCUGCACCCAGCCACUGCCCCUUUCUGGCCCUGGAAGCCAGUCCUGAAGGGGUCCAGUGGGAAAGCUCCUCCGCUGGCCCUUCGGGCUGGCGGGGCCUCCGCAUCCUGAGGCGCCAUCAGGCAGUGGAACCGGGCGGGCAUGGGCCGCCCUCUCUGCCUUCUCAGUCUGCGCAUCCCACCUUCAGGCUGCCGCAGGCCCCAGGUCCUUCUGCGUCCCCCGGAUCAUCUUGACUGAGUGCGCCCCCAACCCGCCCUCCCCACCAGAGUCCAGGCUUGAGGAGCCAGGUCCCAGGACAGCCCCCAUCCCACAACCCCGGACCCUGCCUGGCAGAAGGAGGGGCUGGGAUUGUCCACGGACCCUGCCAGGGGCAGUGGCCGCGGCUUCCCAGCCCAGGAACAGCUUGAUGCCAGAGCAGGAAGGGGCAGGUCUGCAAAGACUGGAGGCCGCCGGCUGCAGCCCAGAAAAGGGAGGAGCUGGGGUCCCCUGUGCUCUGGGACUUGCUCCAGCCAGGACCCGGGAACCCCCCACUGCUGAGACCCCCCGAGAGGAGAUGC